rnacentral:lncRNA from 1 species
AAAUUUAUUUUUGAUAUAAAUAUCUUAUGUCUAUGUUUUUUUUAUCACAAUAAUAGAAAUCACAUUUUGGGCUAAAUGGUUAACUUGUAACUUGUAACAUCAACCAUAUAUGAAAAAAGUAAAUACUUCUCAUUUUAACUACUUUAUUCUCAAUUGAAAUUUAUCACAUUACAUACAUAAAGAUUAUAUCCCCGUCUCCCAUAUUUUGGUGGGCAUUGGGCGUGUUCAAGUGGUCGUGUCAAUAUCAUGUUAGGUACCUAUCUCCGAUAUGCUGAGGCCUGAUAAUUCCACGGUGGGUGGGCCAUGUGCACAAAUACAACCACAAUUCUGGGACAAGAGUCAGAUAUAUAAUAUUUCCCAUAUAAACAAAGAGGUCGUUUCCUUAUCUACAACUCUUCACCACCAAUUCAUCAAGUAGCAAGGUUCAAAACUCCAAAAUAAGCAGAUAACAGCUUUUAAAAACUAGACCUAAAAAAAUCAGCAUUAAAAGGAAAUUCUACAGUAAGAUGGAAUGAAAUCAUUCUCUCACAACACCAAUUUAAUAAAUUUCACCUCUGUAGCUAUAACUUCUCCUACAAUAACCCA